rnacentral:tRNA from 1 species
UGGGGAUUAGUGUAACGGUAGCACGACUGGCUCUGAACCAGUUAGCGGAGGUUCGAAACCUCCAUCCCCAGCCA